GGAUUGUGGCUCAGUGGUAGAGCGCUUGCCUGGCAUGUGUGAGACACUGGGUUCAGUUCUCAGCACCA
rnacentral:tRNA from 1 species